UACGUAGGGUGCGAGCGUUAAUCGGAAUUACUGGGCGUAAAGCGUGCGCAGGCGGUUUUGUAAGCCAGAUGUGAAAUCCCCGGGCUUAACCUGGGAAUGGCAUUUGGGACUGCAAGGCUGGAGUGCGGCAGAGGAGGAUGGAAUUCCGCGUGUAGCAGUGAAAUGCGUAGAUAUGCGGAGGAACACCGAUGGCGAAGGCAAUCCCCUGGGCCUGCACUGACGCUCAUGCACGAAAGCGUGGGGAGCAAACAGG
rnacentral:rRNA from 1 species